rnacentral:rRNA from 1 species
GAUGAACGCUAGCGGCAGGCUUAACACAUGCAAGUCGAGGGGUAACAUAGGAAAGCUUGCUUUUCUGAUGACGACCGGCGCACGGGUGCGUAACGCGUAUACAACCUACCUUUUAGCGGGGAAUAGCCCAGGGAAACUUGGAUUAAUGCCCCAUAGUAUAUAGACUUCUCCUGAAGUUUAUAUUAAACAUUUAUGGCUAUUAGAUGGGUAUGCGUCCUAUUAGUUAGUUGGUAAGGUAACGGCUUACCAAGGCAGCGAUAGGUAGGGGUCCUGAGAGGGAGAUCCCCACACUGGUACUGAGACACGGACCAGACUCCUACGGGAGACAGCAGUGAGGAAUAUUGGACAAUGGGCGAGAGCCUGAUCCAGCCAUGCCGCGUGCAGGAAGACUGCCCUAUGGGUUGUAAACUGCUUUUACAGAGGAAGAACCACCCCCACGUGUGGGGGUUUGACGGUACUCUGCGAAUAAGGAUCGGCUAACUCCGUG